ACAAACCAAACCACUGAAGAUAGUAAUUCUGCCUAAACAAGAAUUUAGGGUAAAAUACGAUUUGAACAGCAACUAAACAAUGUAUUCGACUCUGGUAGGUAUCCCAAACGGAAAGAUCAUAAAAAAUUGAAGAAAAGACACAAAGGAUAGUUAAGAAAUUAUUACUAAGCCUAGCUCUGAUACCAAUUGAUGCGGAACCCCAGCCUAUUAGAGACUGAAACGACACAUACCCUAGUAAAAAGAACUUAAUUCAGAAAAUAAUUCCCCAAUCUAAAGCACCCUUAAUUAACAUGCAAUUAAGAACACUUAUAAUGGAUUGAUUUCAAGAGCAGCAAGAAUAAGAAACAUACAAGUUAGUAUCAAACCUUAUUCGUGAUGCAAUGUCAAGAACCAAGAUCUCUCUUAAGCUCUCAAAGAAGAAUCGCAUAAAGCAAUUGUAUUGAAUAAUUGAUAAUCUGUGUCUACAAUAGAAAAAUAGAUGCUUUAUAUAGCCUAAAUUAAGACCCAUGAUCUUUGCCACUUCCCACUACUAUACAUGGACCCAUGAUCUUUGCCACUACCCACAACUAUACAUGGACCCAUGAUCUAUGCCACUAUCCACUACUAGAUAACUACCCACUACUGUUGAACUACCCACCACCAAAUAACUACCCACUACUGGUUAACUACCAACUACUAAAUGACUACCCACUAUAAAUACAGAAUUUGAAUUGUCAAUAAGGACACAUUUGGCCUAAUUGACUUGGAAUGGCCAGAUUGUUCUUCAACCUCAAAAUGAACUUGCAAAGCUUCAACAUAUUCCUUCAUGAAUCCUUGAAGUGCUUCCUUCAACCUCUUGGAUCUCAGCCUUGUAAUUGGUCCUUGAGG
rnacentral:lncRNA from 1 species